rnacentral:tRNA from 1 species
AGCAGUGUGGCUUAAUGGAAAGAGCAUGGGUUUGAGAGUCAGAGGUCAUGGGUUCUAAUCCUGACUCUGCCA